GGAAUUUUCCGCAAUGGGCGAAAGCCUGACGGAGCAAUACCGCGUGAGGGAUGAAGGAUUUUGGUCUGUAAACCUCUUUUCUCAAGAAAGAAGUUCUGACGGUACUUGAGGAAUAAGCAUCGGCUAACUCCGUGCCAGCAGCCGCGGUAAUACGGGGGAUGCAAGCGUUAUCCGGAAUUAUUGGGCGUAAAGCGCCUGUAGGUUGUUUAGUAAGUUCGUUGUUAAAGACCAGGGCUUAACCCUGGAAAAGCGAUGGAAACUACUAGGCUUGAGUAUGGUAGGGGUAGAGGGAAUUUCUAGUGUAGCGGUGAAAUGCGUAGAUAUUAGAAAGAACACCGGUGGCGAAAGCGCUCUACUGGGCCAUUACUGACACUGAGAGGCGAAAGCUAGGGGAGCGAAAGGGAUUAGAUACCCCAGUAGUC
rnacentral:rRNA from 1 species